rnacentral:lncRNA from 1 species
AAAAAUCACAAAUUUAUUGAGUUUUUGGGUUUAUCAAAACCAUAGAUUUACAUAUAAGUUUAUCAAGAUUUAAUUAUAUGUGUUUGUAAUACCCGAUUUUGGCUCGGGUCUAAAAGGCCCAAACUACAACAGGCCUAUAUGGCCCAAACCCGAAAUACAGAGUCCCAAAAUACCAACCCAGUGGCCCAAAACAAUGUUAGAAAGCCCUAAGGUUUCUGGGGUAAACUUUUGCGCCGCAUCCAAUCCCCCGCAUGAGCCGCACGCCUUCAUCUGCAAGAAAUAAACACAAAGAAGGAAACAAAAUCAAAGAUCAAGAAGAUAUCAAACAUAAUUUGUUUCUUUAUUUUUUUUAUUAUUACUAUGGCUAUAAAAAGGCCAUUAAUAUACUGUAGAGGGGAUUUUUUUUGGGAAAUUAAUAAAAAAACGAGUAUUUUCACAAUAUUAAGGAGAGAAAAACAAAAUAGAGAUUAAAGGUAGUGAUUUGUUUUCUUUGUUUUCUUUUCCUUCAAUUCGAUUUAUUUAUUUGUUAUACGGAAAGUAAAAAGAAAGAAAAGGAAAAAUACCUGGAGACGCCUUUAAAUUUGCGCGAAAAGAUCCAAAAAGCCUCUUUGGGGUGCGGCUCCGACCACCUUUCAUGGUGGGAUCGUGGCAGAGGCGCGGCGGCAUAGAAGCUAGGGCCGAAACCCUAGCAGAGGAAUAUCAAGGUUUUUUUUUAAUUUUUUUUGCUGC